rnacentral:rRNA from 1 species
CGGCAAUGGAGGAAGCUCUGACCGAGCAACGCCGCGUGAACGAUGAAGUAUUUCGGUACGUAAAGUUCUUUUAUUAGGGAAGAAUAAAUGAUGGAAAAAUCAUUCUGACGGUACCUAAUGAAUAAGCCCCGGCUAACUAUGUGCCAGCAGCCGCGGUAAUUCAUAGGGGGCAAGCGUUAUCCGGAAUUAUUGGGCGUAAAGGGUGCGUAGGCGGUUAAAUAAGUUUAUGGUCUAAGUGCAAUGCUCAACAUUGUGAUGCUAUAAAAACUGUUUAGCUAGAGUAAGAUAGAGGCAAGUGGAAUUCCAUGUGUAGUGGUAAAAUGCGUAAAUAUAUGGAGGAACACCAGUAGCGAAGGCGGCUUGCUGGGUCUUUACUGACGCUGAGGCACGAAAGCGUGGGGAGCAAACAGGAUUAGAUACCCUGGUAGUCCACGCCGUAAACGAUGAGUACUAAACGUUGGGUAAAACCAGUGUUGAAGUUAACACAUUAAGUACUCCGCCUGAGUAGUACGUACGCAAGUAUGAAACUUAAAGGAAUUGACGGGACUCCGCACAAGCGGUGGAUCAUGUUGUUUAAUUCGAAGGUACCCGAAAAACCUCACCAGGUCUUGACAUGCUUCUGCAAAGCUGUAGAAACACAGUGGAGGUUAUCAGUUGCACAGGUGGUGCAUGGUUGUCGUCAGCUCGUGUCGUGAGAUGUUGGGUUAAGUCCCGCAACGAGCGCAACCCUUAUUGUUAGUUACCAGCACGUAAUGGUGGGGACUUAAGCAAGACUGCCAGUGAUAAAUUGGAGGAAGGUGGGGACGACGUCAAAUCAUCAUGCCCCUUAUGACCUGGGCUACAAACGUGAUACAAUGGCUGUUACAAAGAGUAGCUGAA